UACAACAGUAUAGGCUUGCAAGGGCGGUCGGCUAAUCUCCCGGAAGGGAGGUGAUGCCGUGGAGGUUAAGGACGCAUUGGCGCUAAUGAUUUCAUUCGCGACUCUAAUCGUACUUAUUCUUUCAUUCCUUAAAAAGAAAUAAACCGCCCUCGCCAAAGGUCGCGGUUUAUUUCCCAUCGCUUACCGGAUAGCCUACCGCCCUUAAAAGCGGCUGUUGUAAGGAGUCGUGUUGGUAGCACGGCUC
rnacentral:sRNA from 1 species